UACAGAGGUGGCAAGCGUUGUUCGGAAUUACUGGGCGUAAAGGGCGCGUAGGCGGUUCGUUAAGUCCUGUGUGAAAUCCCCCGGCUCAACUGGGGAACUGCACAGGAAACUAGCGGGCUUGAGUUCGGGAGAGGGAAGCGGAAUUCCACGUGUAGCAGUGAAAUGCGUAGAGAUGUGGAGGAACACCGAUGGCGAAGGCAGCCCCCUGGGUCAACACUGACGCUCAUGCACGAAAGCGUGGGGAGCAAACAGG
rnacentral:rRNA from 1 species